UAUCUACUCCCUCCGUCCCAAAAUUCUUGUCUUAGAUUUGUCUAGAUACGGAUGUAUCUAAUACUAAAAUGUGACUUGAUACAUCCAUAUUUAGACAAAUCUAAAACAAGAAUUUUGGGACGGAGGGAGUAUAUU
rfam:Triticum urartu cultivar G1812 contig88582, whole genome shotgun sequence.